UAUCUAGUUGGAUGUCAAGACACGUGAAACUUAAGUGCAUGACACCACACUGGGUAGA
rnacentral:pre_miRNA from 1 species